AGUUUUGAUUUAUGUGAUUCGAGGUUUUUUGUUUUGUUUUUGUUUUUGGUUUUGAUAAUUGAAUUGAUGAGCGUAGGAGUGUAGAUCAGGGUGAAUUGGAGGUUCAUGCAACGAAUGGAAUUGGUUUUAGUUUCGUGGAUAGUGAAAUUUAUAGGAAUCUAAAUCAAGAAAGGAAAGGAAAGAUCGGGUGAAGAAUGGGGGUGGAUGAAUUACUCGAUUGUUGACAUCAGUGAGCUGGUUGACCAGAAAUCUAUGAUUGCAUAAUUUACGGCCGUUUAGUAAUGUUUCCUGUUUUGUGUUUUCUGAGUUAAAAUGGGAAGAGGAGGAAAUAAAAGAGAGGAGCGACAUAGAAGAAAGAAUAUACUGUUUAGAAUUGAUUUUGGAUGCUGAGGAUGAUUUAUUGACACCACUUUUAUCUCUUUUUUGUGAAAUUUCCAUUCUCAAUUGAAGCCUUUCUCUUGAUUUAAUUGUAUAUGACUUUGGAAGCUCCUGAGUCCACCUGUUUGGCACUUUAACAAUUUUUUGUUUCACACCAAUCUUCUUACUAUCAAGGCUGGAACGCAGGAAUAAACAUCUUCUACUGUAUUGUCAACUAAGAAACAUUCACAUGGUCCUUCAACUUGUUUUUAAAAUCUCACGCAGAACAUCAACUGCCCUGGGAGAACUGGGACUCUGAUUGGUUCUAACACGCAGAGUACGUGACCUAGACUUUACCGGAUGGUAUCAUACCCAGUGGAUUUGAAUGAACAGAAAUUAUUCCUUAUCGAUGGCUGUAUCUUGGAUCUGAAAUCAAGAGCCACUUGAAAAUUUUCAUCAAGUAUCCUUCAACCAUGAAUUGACAAAGUCUUUAAAGAUAAUUAACGUGAUUAUUGCUGUAUCAUUCUAAUUCAAUCUCCAUUUCCUGCUGAUGAACUCCAGAAUCACCUCUGUUGAUGGCCUUCCAUAGAGUUAGAACCUCGUCAAUUGAGAAGGGAUUCUAGGAUUAGAUUUCUUCAGCUACAUAGUUGGCAUGGGUGGUGCUGGUCUUUCAAACAGAGAGGCAAACGUUUAUGGGCACAGAGGCCUUUGCCAGUGUUUGCAUUUUUCCGCUUGCCAUUAAAGCAGCUUCUAAAGAGUUGGAACGGAUUGAUAAUGUGUUCUAUACCUAUGCAAAUACAACUUCUGGUUUGAUUGACCCAGAGGGAAUCGAACGUCUUUGUUCAGAUAUGGAAGUUGACCCUACAGAUGUAAGGGUCUUGAUGCUUGCCUGGAAAAUGAAGGCUGAAAAACAGGGAUUCUUUACCCUGGAAGAAUGGCGAGUUGCACUUAAAGCAUUAAGGGCGGAUAGUUUAAGUAAAUUAAAGAAGGCACUUCCAGAGCUAGAGAAAGAGGUCAGGAGGCCAUCAAACUUUGUGGAUUUCUAUUCCUAUGCAUUCAGAUAUUGCUUAACAGAGGAGAAACAGAAGAGCAUAGAUAUAGAGAGCAUAUGCCAAUUAUUACAUAUUGUUUUAGGAUCUCAAUACCAAGCGCAGGUUGACUCAUUUGUAGAGUACUUAAAGACUCAGAAUGAUUACAAAGUCAUAAACAUGGAUCAAUGGAUGGGCUUUUACCGAUUUUGUGAUGAGAUAAGUUAUCCAGACCUUAGCAACUACGAUCCUGAACUUGCAUGGCCUUUGAUCCUUGACAAUUUUGUUGAAUGGGUGCGAGAAAGGCAGAGCUAGAGCUGAUGAUUCUUGGUCAACUUCAGUCUCUGCUGAAAACAACAAUUCCUCCUGAAUGAAUUGGCCUUUUUGCAGGACAUUGGACGGCCCCAUGGAUUUUAUUUCGGUUCUCUUUUUCUCUUCCAAAUAUGAAUAGCUUCCUCAAAGUGCUUGGCUUUGGAAAUUGUAUGUUUGUGAUAUGAUAGUUCUUGGGAAAGCCUUGUUAAAUGUCACAGGGGCUUCCAUAAUUAAUUCUGUUGAAUAUUCAAUUAAUUGCUCUAAGUUUCUUGAGCGAAUGGUGUUAAGGCCGCUGAACUAUGCUAUCUUAGUGUGAAGCGAUUGUAUCAUGAAUGUGUGAUAGAAUAAAAGGCACUUUUGAAUUUCCUGCCAAUAA